GACGAACGCUGGCGGCGUGCUUAACACAUGCGAGUCGAACGCUGAAGACCUGGCUUUUGUUGGGUUGGAUGAGUGGCGAACGGGUGAGUAACACGUGAGUAACCUGCCCUCUUCUUUGGGAUAACGCCCGGAAACGGGUGCUAAUACUGGAUAUUCACUGGCCUUCGCAUGGGGGUUGGUGGAAAGGUUUGUUCUGGUGGGGGAUGGGCUCGCGGCCUAUCAGCUUGUUGGUGGGGUGAUGGCCUACCAAGGCUUUGACGGGUAGCCGGCCUGAGAGGGUGACCGGUCACAUUGGGACUGAGAUACGGCCCAGACUCCUACGGGAGGCAGCAGUGGGGAAUAUUGCACAAUGGGCGAAAGCCUGAUGCAGCGACGCCGCGUGAGGGAUGGAGGCCUUCGGGUUGUAAACCUCUUUCGCUCAUGGUCAAGCCGCAACUGUGGGUUGUGGUGAGGGUAGUGGGUAAAGAAGCGCCGGCUAACUACGUG
rnacentral:rRNA from 1 species